rnacentral:rRNA from 1 species
UGAGGAAUAUUGGUCAAUGGGCGCAAGCCUGAACCAGCCAUCCCGCGUGCAGGAAGACGGCCCUAUGGGUUGUAAACUGCUUUUCCAGGGGGAGAAUUUUUCUGUCGUGACAGGAAUUGACGGUACCCUGGGAAUAAGCAUCGGCUAACUCCGUGCCAGCAGCCGCGGUAAUACGGAGGAUGCGAGCGUUAUCCGGAUUUAUUGGGUUUAAAGGGUGCGUAGGCGGAUAGAUAAGUCAGUGGUGAAAACCUGCAGCUUAACUGUAGACUUGCCGUUGAUACUGUCAGUCUUGAGUAUGGUCAAGGUAGGCGGAAUGUGUAAUGUAGCGGUGAAAUGCUUAGAUAUUACACAGAACACCGAUUGCGAAGGCAGCUUGCUGGGCCAUUACUGACGCUGAUGC